GACAGAGGGUGCAAGCGUUAAUCGGAAUUAUUGGGCGUAAAGCGCACGUAGGCGGAUUAGUAAGUUGGGUGUGAAAUCCCUGGGCUUAACCUGGGAACUGCAUUCAAAACUGUUAGUCUAGAGUAUGGUAGAGGAAGGCGGAAUUUCCGGUGUAGCGGUGAAAUGCGUAGAUAUCGGAAAGAACACCAGUGGCGAAGGCGGCCUUCUGGACCAAUACUGACGCUGAGGUGCGAAAGCGUGGGGAGCAAACAGG
rnacentral:rRNA from 1 species